AGAAAAAAGCAAAGCCCACACAUUUGUCAAAGCUGAAGCGUUCCGUAGAGCUGUAUCGUUGGGGCAGACUUUUGCCAAAAGCCGGGCAGACUUCUGGUGGCAGCCUGCCUGAUUUCCUAACCCUUUUCCUAGCAAACAGCCUCAAAACCAUGUUCCCAGGAUGGCUCCAGGCUGCCAGGGCUCACAGCUGCCCGGCCCGCGGUUUGCAGGAGGCAGCCGGCAGCUCGUUCCCUGCUCGGGUGGGAGGACAGCGGCUCCAGGCACCGCUUUGCACGGGACCCCGCACUGCAGGAAUCCCACGCCUCGCCCCACAGCUCUUGUCUCUUCCGUGACGUCUCUUGUCUGCUGGAAGCAGCCCCAGCAACCCUCCGGAGCUGGGGCAGCGCGGGAAGUGUCAACUGACAGCUCUGCUUUGUUUCAGGGGAAAGAAAGAAACACAAUCCCUUCUCAUCUUCUCUGGUGGCCUCGCUUAACUUCUCAUUGCCUCAGCCCGUGAGGUUCUGGGAUUGUAAAGCCCUGUAAAAGACUCAGGAAUCCUGCCACUCAGGGGAGGAAGACUCUAGAUGUGAAAAGACCUUCUCUGACCUGUUUGGAACAAAUUCCAAGCCUGUCCUCCCAUGGAUGUACCCUGAAGGCAUUUACUGAGUGUGCACAAGAGAUGUGCCAAUGGACCAGAGAAAAGGUGUCCUGGUGGGGUGUCUCUAAGGGAAGAUGAGAAGAGAACCCUCCUGGCUGCUACCUGUCACUCCUUGUCUGAAGUGCAGCCUGGAGAGAGAUACCCGAUCAUCCAAACCAAACACUAUCUGGAUGCAGACACAGUCUGCUCAGCUCAAGAGGAUCCUUCGACAUUGCUGGCCCUUAUAAGCGUUUGGCUCGGGCAACCUCAACUGGCCACCUGCUCCCUGAGCACCUGCUCAGACAGUGAUCUCACUGCUCAGCAUCCUGGUGGCUUCUGGGGUCUAAAGACCACUAAGUCGAGACCCAAAGGGUAGCUACAGGGACAUGCCUGCAUCCUGCGUGAACAGGAACAGUGAAGGUGACAGUUUUGAGCUUUUGUGAGAACAAAAUUUUUCAAUGUUACAUCUUAUCUCCUUCCUCAGUCUUCGGGUGAAUGUCCUGAGCUUCAAAAUGUUCCACUUGAAGAACCAAGAAAGGUGUUCUUCAUCCCCACCAGAACCCCAGGCAUGGCAAGCUCAAAUGAGUUUGGGUCAGAGCUAAAGAAUACCCCUUAAAGACACAGAAGAGCCUUUGGACACGCACGGGGAAGCAGGAAGGCAUGUGGAUGUGCCUUGGCAAGUCCAGGAAGGCGACCAGCUUCCUGAAGGCAUUUAGGGACACCCAGGAGAGCUGUGGGGAAGAGAGCUGGCCUGGAAGAGUGCCCCACAGCCUCCUCCCACCGCUGAGUCCCCAGCAGGUAGUGACAUAAGCCAAGCAGGUUUAUUCUCAGUGACAUUUUGGGGGAUGCCUCGCAAAGAUGAGUCAGGCUGUGCCUGAUGCAUAAAAACAUCGAUGCAGAGUCUUGUGGGGCAGUUUUAGUGGCUAUGGAGGAGACAGACCCACCUGAGCCAGCCUCAUUAGUCUGGUCCUUGGGAAGUGCUGACCACAGGUAGAACCACCAAGACCUGCAAGGGCAUCCCAAACACCCUUCCCUUUCUUCCAUAAAGUCAUUAAGGCUCUUAGAAACUCUUGUAGCAGCUAGAACUGAGGUGUCCUUUCAGUGAGGUGUCCACCCAGAGGUAUCUCAUACCUCUGCCUACAGUAUUCCCAUCCCAUCAUUGCCCUGUUGCUAGGGUGCUCAGCCUAGCAAUGACUGCUGCUGACACGAGACCUUAGAUACUGCCUAUCAGAUUUCCCGUGAGCAGCAGAGAGCAAUGAAAACAGAGAUCAGAGAGACGAAGAGAGGAGCCUAGCCUGCUAAUUACAGUGGUAAAGCAACAUUCAGCACCUGCUGCUGGCAGUUACGUCCUUCUGCCAGGGGAUAUACGGCAAAACAGGUUUGGUUGGUGGUGAGACGGCAGCAAAACAGGAUUCAUUAGGGACAGGAGUGGUGGGGAAACAAUUGGUCUUACAAUAAAGGAAGAAAGCAAACUGGUGGGCUUAGAAGCUGGAUGAGUGCAGUUGUGAUGCACUCAUGAUCCUGCCAGCCCAGGUCUACCUCCUUCAGAUGGAUUGGGCUUGCGGAGAGACAAGUUGUCUUGAUCAUCACCCUUCUGUCGUAUCUGCGCUCAUCUCUGUGCAAAUCACAAUGUUUUCUUCGUCCUGCUGUUCUGUCAGGGUGAUUUCUGUCAGCAGGGUCUCUGGCCAAGGUGAUUGCAGCAGCCUAUUUUUGGGACUGCCCUUGAGAGAUGGAAGCCAGGAAGGUGGAGCCCAGCUGUUGCGGUGUCGGUGCCCUGGAGAGGCCCUCACACCUGCAGUCCGUGCUGGCUGCUCUCCAGUGCCUUGCUAAUUGCAUUGGGGUCCUUAAAUAAUACAGUGGCCACGUGCUGAAGGGGCUGCUGGCUGACUCUCCCAGUGCUCAGGGGGGAAAGGAAGCUCAGCUGGGGGCCAUUUCAGGCUGUAGGAGAUGGGAACGUCUCAGUUCAGGUCCUGGGAUUUUGGCUGCAAAGGUGCUCUCUGACUCAGCUUUGUUGCUGGGUGCCUGCUGACUCCCCGGGAUAUUUAUCUGGCUCUGAGAGUCAGCAAGGGGCUCACAGAUCCUCACUUUUUUGAAGCCAGUUUAGGUACAGACAGGGAUUUAAGGGACAGGUCUGCAACCAAAUAUACAUGCAUCCUAUACUGAGCAUGGAGCUUUAUUUAUCUCAUCCUACAACUCUAGAUAACAACCCACUGAGGUGUUGUCCACCCACAAAGCUGCCCCACUCACCUGAAUAUGGCAAGGAACCAUCUAAGUAGCUUUUUCCUGGGCUUCCCUUGAUCGGUUGGCCUGCAACACCAUGAAAUUAAGGCAGAGACCUGGGUGAAAGCAUGAUGAGCACCCUGCAGCUUUGCCUUCCAGACCUGCCCAUGCAGCGAACAAGUCCUUCCUGGAGCAGGAGGAUCCCACAGGACCCAGGUUGACAGUGAUGCAUGGGUUUCUACUUCUUCUUACAUUGUGUUACACCCUUCCCAGGCUUAGCAGGGUCUGCUCAAGCCUCAGGGUCUGAAAUUUGCCUGCAUGAGAAUGGCAGCACUGCAAGCCCAAAGGCCUACCUUGCAUAGGUCCUGUUUCCAAGAGCAGUUGAUACCUAGGGAAGCAUACAAGAAGAUAAGCACACAGUACAUUCCCCUGCCUCUAGCUGGUUUUCCUGAGCCAGAUGUAAUCUACAGAGUUCACACUUUUCAGUGGGUUUCUCUUCCAUGGUCUUGUGGCGAUGUUAGGGCUGUGAUAUCCUUUCUCAAGGAGUUCCACAGCCCCUCAACACGUUGCAUGACAAAUUGCUUCCUUCUAUCUGCUUCAACUUACUGACUUUGUUUCAUGCCCCUGCUUCUCAACUGGGAGAGAGAAUGAGUAAUCCCUGUUCACCUGCCCCAAGCUGCUCACCUUUUUCUGGUCUUCUCAGCUGCCCCUCGGGUGUCUCUUCCUGCUCUGACUGUCCAUGAGAGGUAGCUGCAGUUCAGUUUUAUGGGCAAGAAAUGCUGUGGCCUGCAGAGUUAUCUCAGUAAAGCCCAAGUCUUGCAAUACUUUCCGAAUGUUGCUGAAUUUGUCUUUCCAGCACACCUGCCAAGCUGAGAAAUCCUGCUACCCUUAUUCUAAUGAGGUGCAGCACGGCCAGGGAUCAAACACUUCCCUGAUGCAGAACAAGUAUUUGAAAACCAAGGACUGAGCCUUCACCUCCUGUUUCCCAUCCGAGAGGUGCUUUGCUAACCUCACCCAACCAGCUGACCAAAAACUGUCCUGCCAUUACAGCGAUUGACCCACCGAUGCUGAAAUUUGAACAGCGACUGUGAGCAUCACCUGGGUUGUCAUCUGGCUCAGAUACCUGCAAAAAGCAGGCGGGAGACAAGUCACGUUUCACAAACAAAGGGAAGGAGGGGAUGGGGGCAGGGGAGCAACUGAGCCAGUGGAACUGUUUGUGCAGCCGUAAUCACACCAUAAGCAAGGCAAAUGCCCUUGUGCUAGCCUGGCAAACAGGCCCUGGCGACCAGAACUGCUCAAAGCGAAGCUGCCUUUGCUUGGGGACUCGGUCCCCUGAGCAGUAUGUGCUCCCACACUGGCUGCCCACAGGGACAAUGCUUUGUUCCUUUUUGUCCACGGAAAAAUUGAUCCUUCCGUGUUUUAACUUUAAAUCUGUUUGCCCUUAUUAAAUUUAUUUAUUUAUUUAUC